rnacentral:rRNA from 1 species
AUGAACGCUAGCGACAGGCCAACACAUGCAAGCGAGGGGCAGCACAAGGAGCAAUCUGAGGUGGCGACCGGCGCACGGGUGAGUAACACGUAUGCAACCUGCCUGUAAGCGGGGAAUAACCCGUUGAAAGACGGACUAAUACCGCAUAAUACUAAAUUACUGCAUGGUAAUUUAUUUAAACAUUUAUGGCUUACAGAUGGGCAUGCGCAUGAUUAGCUAGUUGGAGAGGUAACGGCUCCCCAAGGCAACGAUCAUUAGGGGUUCUGAGAGGAAGGUCCCCACACUGGUACUGAGACACGGACCAGACUCCUACGGGAGGCAGCAGUGAGGAAUAUUGGUCAAUGGACGAGAGUCUGAACCAGCCAAGUCGCGUGCAGGAAGAAUGUCCUAAUGGAUUGUAAACUGCUUUUGCAGGGGAAUAAAGUGCAUCACGUGUGAUGUUUUGUAUGUACUCUGCGAAUAAGGAUCGGCUAACUCCGUGCCAGCAGCAGC